ensembl:lncRNA
GGAUCAUCAUCAUAGAAGCAAGCAAGACAACUGCUGCAUAGAAAUUCACCAUCUCAGUCCUCCCUUUAGUUACUUCACGUGGCCAUUUUCUUGCUUUACAACCUAACAAGCAGUGGAACUUUUGUAAUCCAUUCCAGAUCACUUCCACACAUACUCACCACCAACACCGAAGAUUGCUGACAAGAAUGAAAAAACAUGAGCCUUCAUUUGCUAAGGCUGCUGUGAUUUGUCACUUCCUCCCUCCCCCCAGGACCCACUUCCUGUAACUGUCUCUACAGGUUACACCUUCCAUCUUUACAGAUGUCUGCUCAGGCCAGUGGUUCUCUGUAGGAACAUAGAUAUGACCCCCAUAUGACUGUCUGCUACAUUGCUAGGAAUGG